rnacentral:rRNA from 1 species
AUUGAACGCUAGCGGGAUGCUUUACACAUGCAAGUCGAACGAGCGGCGGACGGGUGAGUAAUGUAUGGGGACUGCCCGAUAGAGGGGGAUAACUACUGGAAACGGUAGCUAAUACCGCAUACUAUCGGAUAACCCAUAUGGGGUUAGCUAGUGGGUGAGGUAAUGGAUCACCUAGGCAACGAUCCCUUGCUGGUCGGAGAGGAUAGUCAGCCACACUGGGACGGAGACACGGCCCAGACGCAUACGGAGGCAGCAGUGUGGAAUAUUGCACAAUGGGCGCAAGCCUGAUGCAGCCAUGCCGCGUGUAUGAAGAAGGCCCUAGGGUUGUAAAGGACUUUCAGUCGGGAGGCGGUACCGACAGAAGAAGCACCGGCUAACUCCGUGCCAGCAGCCGCGGUAAUUC